CCGGGGUGGAGGGGGUGGAGGGGGUGUGGGCGCAGUUCCUGGGAAGGGGGCUGUGUUCAGAGUCAGGAUUCCAAAGACGGAGCAGCCGGACUGAGGACAGGCUGAAGGUGUGACUAGAGGGGUGGGCGGAUUUAGUUAGCAGACAAGAUUGUUGGUGAUGAAAGAGGAAGCCAAAUGCCAGGCCUGCAGAUCUGUCUCUGGAUUUUGAAGCCUCCGGGGAUGGCGGCAGUCCAGUGACGAGAAGGUUGUGAGAUCUCCUAGGGUGAUUCCGAGUGUGGAGAGGCCCGAGAAGCAUCGUUCUAGAACCUCAUUGUGGCCCCCGGAGAGGCUGUGAUGACCAUCCCUGCAGAAUCCAGGAGGCUUUCUGUCCAACUGAAGGAACACAGUCUGGUAGGCCAAGACUCUUGUGACGUUCUGCAAGGAUUCCUGACUUGGGAUUCCGGAAGAUCUCUGGACAGACCUCUGCGCUGUGCAAGAGUCCAUCCUGUCUCUCAUCGGCUUUGGCCUUGCACUGAGCUUCUCCGUGCGAAACUGCUAACUUGUCGAGAACAACUGUUCAGCAAAAGCCAAAGCUCCCAUUCAAGCUGAAGACUGAAAACUCGACAAGUGAAUGUCUUCCACCUACUUGACGCUCUCCGGCAGGAGAAACACCUCUGUGAAAACACUGCUGACUGUGGAUUCCAGGGUGCUGUGGACUCAGUCUCCAUGAAGUCUCCCUGAAGAACGGUUCUAUGGUUUGAAUGCUGGGAGACUAAAGUCUAUAAAGUAACAGUAUAUAUAAAAAUGGCUGAUGGCUAUGCACUUCAGUCACGGACGUCUCACCCCAAAUGCGGCCCUGGCUUUGGAGGCGCUUACAUGGCUCAUGUGAGGAUGGGGAUUUUUCUGCGUAGCUGAGGUGAGCAGCCUCGCCUGUGUUCAUGCUGUUUAUGAAAAGGCUGUUGGCUGUGAGCGCCUCGGUGUUACACGUUUGGCAUCGCCUUGUGCCUAAUUAUCAGUUCUGAAUCUAACUUCUGUUCCUCCCAGAUCACUUUAAGGAAAUCUGCAUGAAUUUGGUGAGAGGAAAAUGAAAACAGAAUGAAACCUCUGCCUUUAGAUCUCCAAAUUCAGAAGAAAGGAAGCUAAUUUCUUCUUGAGUAACAACCACAAUUUUCGCUUCACUGGACAUAGUACUUUCAUUUGCAUAUAUAAAACUUAUUUCUACAUGGAUGCUUUUUCCACUCCAAAACUAAUUGUUAGAGAACUAAAAGAUGAUUUAAAACACACAAAGCCCAAUGAAAAAUAUGUGUUAAGAACAACUCUUUAAAAACUGUUUUGUAAAGAUUUAUAUGUAUUUCGAUAAUUUCUAUAACCAAAAUCCAACUUGAGACAUGUUGUGUAUCAAUGAGUAACAUACUAGGUUCAUAAUGACAUAAUUUUUGAUACGGGAAAUUCAAGUGAAAAAAUGUGAGAAUAAGACAACUGUACUUGAAGUGAGCCUUUCCCCACACCUGUUUGUCAUAAAGGUCCUGUUGACUCUACAGGUUUUCUUUUCUUUUCUUUUGUCAGACAGCUUUUCCUGAGUUUUUCUACCAAACUCAGGGUAGAUAGUGUUGUCCACCACUAGAUGGCACCAGGCACAAGUGGCAGAUUUUUUUUUUUCCUUCCAGAUGAAGUCAGCAGCUCUUUCCUCACAAGCUACAUAGAAGCGCUAGGAAUUAAAGGCAGGACGUGUCACAGAAGGGCUGAUGAAGUAACUCCCCAUGUGCUGGACUGUUGAGUCUGCACCUUCUGCAUUUGAGAGCAACCUAACAGCUGGUACUUCACUCCUUACAAGAAGGAAAUCAGAACUUGCAGUGAAAAUUAUUUGAUGUAAAUGAUGUGUUGGACGUACGGACAUGGACAUUCAGUUGACAGGGAACAUGACGUGAUGGGGUCCAUGACAGGUCAGAAGCUGUCCCUCCAACCACACUGCCUCCACAGCAGACAGAGGACCAACAGGCGGCGUGUGGGGCCACGUGACCACAAUACCAAGUGAGCUUUCCUGGAGGUGCGUCCCAUGACAAGACUCAGGACAAAGCCCCUUCCUGAGCAAGUGGAAAGAACAGACUGAUGAAGUCAGCACGCAUGGACCACCUUUCCAGGACAGAGCGGUGGGAGAAAGCCCAGGCUCUGAGCAUCUUUGACAAGUCACGCCACGCCUUUUGGUUGGUAGUGAUGGCAACGUCCUACAAAGCAGCUCCUGAGGUCUUUUUAUAACUUAAUAGCAAUGCUGUGUUUAGCACGUUACUUACCCAUCCAGCAUUAGGUCCUACUCAACAGAGGAGGGACAAUAGCUACUGAAUGGAUGUAUUAUUUAGGAGGACUUAACUCCCCAGCUUUGCAAAGUGGACUACAAAACUUGAUCCUUAAAUACAUCAGAUAAGCCCAGGAUGUCUCUCAACGUGUCUGCAAGACCACAGUGCCAGAUACAAGGUAAGAGCUUAAUACAUGUUGGUGGAAUGGAAAGUAAGUAAAUCUACAGGUGGAAAAAAAGGAAUGUUGCCCAAAACAGCCUGACAGUUACAAGUCCUGGAGCCCGGCCACACCCACCUGUC